rnacentral:rRNA from 1 species
CCUACGGGUGGCGGCAGGGAGGAAUAUUGGUCAAUGGGCGCGAGCCUGAACCAGCCAAGUAGCGUGAAGGAUGACGGCCCGAUGGGUUGUAAACUUCUUUUAUAUGGGAAUAAAGUGCAGUAUGUAUACUGCUUUGCAUGUACCUUAUGAAUAAGGAUCGGCUAACUCCGUGCCAGCAGCCGCGGUAAUACGGAGGAUCCGAGCGUUAUCCGGCUUUAUUGGGUUUAAAGGGAGCGUAGGCGGGUUGUUUAGUCAGUUGUGAAAGUUUGCGGCUCAACCGUAAAAUUGCAGUUGAUACUGGCAUCCUUGAGUCCAGUCGAGGUAGGCGGAAUUCGUGGUGUAGCGGUGACAUGCUUAGCUAUCACG